UGUUUGUUUCUUUAGAAUAAAAUGGCAGAAGUAAAGACCUGGGUAGAAAAAUACACUCAAGAGGCUUUUCCAUGAAGCUCAGAAUUCCUAAAAUUACCAACAACAGAGCACAGACUUCAGAAUAUCCACCACAGGAGAGAUACAAGUCAGCCUCCUUGUUGACAAGCCAGCGUGGAGGCAAAGGGAACCCCAAGGGACCAAGGGUCAAAGCAUCUGCUGUCAGCACACACCAAUUUAGAAGAUGAGGACUUAAGAACCUGGGAAUGCCACCCCCCCACCCCGCCAUUACUGUGGGACCUUGUGGAGGAGAAGCAGGACGUGAACCUUCGUCCAAGCUGGUCGGGCAAGCUUUUCCAGUUCCAACUGGGCCCACAGUGUUAACUGGUAAGGAGGACAGAGGGCAGGCUUCAGAACAGGGCGGAACUUGCCACCCUCACACAUUCAUCUCCACCCUGACCCCACACUGCAAAAGGCCCUCAGUCACUCUUCUCCAAUUCAGAAACUAAAACUUUAUAUGAAUAUUUCUGGAGUCACAAGGCUCUAGCAAUAUAAAUCUAUUUUCAUCAUUCAAUGUCAUAUGAGUCCAAGGAUAAAUAUUACCAUUACCGUAAUUUUUUCUUAUUUUCCAGGUUAAAAAUACUAAAAAAGUAAAAUUCUCUUA